rnacentral:rRNA from 1 species
AUUGAACGCUGGCGGCAGGCCUAACACAUGCAAGUCGAACGAGUGGCGGAAGGGUGAGUAAUGUCUGGGAAACAGCCUGAUGGAGGGGGAUAAAUACUGGAAACGGUAGCUAAUACCGCAUAACAUCAGCUGUGCCAAGAUGGGAUUAGCUAUUUGGUGGGGUAACGGCUAACCAAGGAGACGAUCCCUAGCUGGUCUGAGAGGAUGACCAGCCACACUGGAACUGAGACACGGUCCAGACUCCUACGGGAGGCAGCAGUGGGGAAUAUUGCACAAUGGGCUCAAGCCUGAUGCAGCCAUGCCGCUUGUAUGAAGAAGGCCUUCGGUUUGUAAAGUACUUUCAUCGGGGAGGCGUUACCCGCAGAAGAAGCACCGGCUAACUCCGUGCCAGCAGCCGCGGUAAUUC